AACAAACCCAGCUCUCAGCCUCUGCCCAUACAUCACGUUUCCCAGGUCCCUGACCACCUUGGGGGCCUCUGCUGGACUUGCUCCAGUCUGUCACUGUCUAUCAUGUCCUGAGGAGCUCAGACUGGACAGUGCCAGGUUUGGUCUUACAAGUGCGGAACAGAGGGGAAGGAUCACUUCUCUCGCCCGGCUGGCUACGCUCGUGAUAACAGAGCUCAGGAUGCUGUUGGCCGCCUUUGCUGCAAGGGCACACUGCUGGCUCCUGCUCAGCAAGUCCACCAGGACCCCCAGCGCUUUUUCUGCAAAGCUGAUGCGAUGCACAAGCACUGUCACGGCUCCCAUUUGGGGGAGCACUCCCAGGGGACGUCUCUUGUACCGCUCAUAAGUACAGAACAUCGACAAACAGCUUUCAGUUGGUCCCAUCCCCCUCUGCACCCGUAAUCACCCUGGAAGCCAGGGAAGGAUUUUGCGUACGGGCUUUUCUUUCAUCGCGCAGUGGAGACGGCUGGCGGAAAACAGCCAGGGAGAGAAGAAAGACACCCAAUCCCUCACAGGAUGCUGCAGCAGCAACAGUGCGUUGGGUUCUCUGAUGAACAAGAGAGACAGGAGUCACCGCUCACACCUUCCACGGCUGCUUCCCACCGUGAUGUGGAGGAGUGGGAAAGGGCGCCCGCGUGGAGAAGAUGUGCAAGGUGCCCAUGCGAAGGGCCAGAUCCCAGACCUGUCUGUGCCACCUAGCCCAGCUGGCCUCUGGGCUUGCUUUGGGGGUUCAGGCUGAGAAGUGAGCUAGGAUUCACAUAUGAGCGUGCCUGAAGCUGCCACACAAAAGGCAAGAGAAGCUGGGGAAGUGACUGGGGAAAUGCUGCGGGCAGGAAGGGGGCUCGUAUGUUAAGAGAACACGUUUGCAUCAGGUGAACAGGCCAAAUCACCAAUACAGCUGCUGAAUGUCUAGUCUGGCUGCCACUACCAUGAAUCCUUGAGCUAAGAAAUUCCUCCAUAUUAAAAUGGCCUUUCCCAAGUAAUUUACAUCUUAUCUUCCUUAUUUCCAUCCCACCCCACUGGUACUCGCUGUCUGCCCAUGUUUCUGUUAAUCCUAGCCCCUAUCUAUUAUGCUAAAUCAUUUUUCACUUGAAAAGUCCUGCAUUACUUGAGAUAGGGAUCUAUUGUUGGAGGCUUAACAAAAGGUUUCAACAGCUGUUAGCAAAGUUUCUAAUUGUCA
rnacentral:lncRNA from 1 species